rnacentral:rRNA from 1 species
GAUGAACGCUGGCAGCGUGCUUGACACAUGCAAGUCGAACGCAUCGACAAUGCCUGGAGGCUCUGGAUGAACGGGAGUGCGAGAAAUCGUACAAGCGGGAAGAAGGGGCGGAAGGGCGACGUUGGUGAGUGGCGGACGGGUGAGUAACACGUAGGUAAUCUGCCUCAAAGUGGGGGAUAACUGUUCGAAAGAGCAGCUAAUACCGCAUAAUAUCCAGGCCAAGCCUGGAAGAAAGGCGCGAGUCGCUUUGAGAUGAGCCUGCGGCCGAUUAGCUAGUUGGUGAGGUAAUGGCCCACCAAGGCGAGGAUCGGUAGCUGGUCUGAGAGGAUGAUCAGCCACACUGGGAUUGAGAACGGCCCAGACUCCUACGGGAGGCAGCAGUGGGGAAUAUUGCGCAAUGGACGAAAGUCUGACGCAGCGACGCCGCGUGGGUGAUGAAGGCCUUCGGGUCGUAAAGCCCUGUUGAGGGAGAG